rnacentral:rRNA from 1 species
AGAGUUUGAUCCUGGCUCAGGAUGAACGCUGGCGGCGUGCCUAAUACAUGCAAGUCGAACGGGGAGUUCGCAAGGGCUUCCAGUGGCGAACGGGUGAGUAACGCGUGGGUGACCUGCCCCAAAGCGGGGGAUAACAGCUCGAAAGGGCUGCUAAUACCCCAUGAGGUCCCGCUGGUUAGAGGCGGCGGGACGAAAGGCGCAAGCCGCUUUGGGAGGGGCCUGCGUCCCAUCAGCUAGUUGGUCGGGUAACGGCUGACCAAGGCGAUGACGGGUAGGGGACCUGAGAGGGUGAUCCCCCACACUGGCACUGAAACACGGGCCAGACACCUACGGGUGGCAGCAGUAGGGAAUAUUGCACAAUGGGCGCAAGCCUGAUGCAGCAACGCCGCGUGCGCGACGAAGGCCUUCGGGUCGUAAAGCGCUUUUCGGGGAGAUGAGUACGGACAGUAUCCCCGGAAGAAGGAUCGGCUAACUACGUGCCAGCAGCCGCGGUAAAACGUAGGAUCCGAGCGUUAUCCGAAUUCACUGGGCGUAAAGCGCAUGCAGGCGGCCGCACAAGUUGGAUGUGAAAUCUCCCGGCUCAACUGGGAGGGGACGUUCAAAACUGUGCGGCUCGAGGGCGGUAGAGGAAGGUAGAAUUCCCGGUGUAGUGGUGAAAUGCGUAGAUAUCGGGAGGAAUACCCGUGGCGAAGGCGACCUUCUGGACCGUUUCUGACGCUCAGAUGCGAAAGCUAGGGGAGCGAACGGGAUUAGAAACCCCGGUAGUCCUAGCCGUAAAC